UUUACGCAUCUUUGCGUGUUUUGUCCUUGCAGGCGCGUGUCCUGUCAGACGGCGGUCCGUCGGGGUGCGUUUCGGUGGGACCUCCCCCGGGAAACUCCCAGGUGGCCGCCCCCAUAACCCCGUGGCCGUGGCCGGGGGGGCAGGGACGGCGUGGCCAGGGCAGGCUGGCUGCUGCCCCGGGGAAGCAACGCGGAUUGGUACGCGGAUGGGUUUGGUUGGAAGCGGCCCCGCCCGCCGCCGGUGGGAACUCAUUGGCCAGGCCUCAAAAGGGCGGUACUGGCCCCAGCCGGCGUGGGUCGGGUGUCCCCGUUCUGCCGCCGACGCCUUUUCGCCAGCGGGCUUCGAUAAUGAUCCUUCCGCAGGUUCACCUACGGAAA
rnacentral:misc_RNA from 1 species